GGUCUGUUAGCUCAGUCGGUAGAGCAUUUGACUUUUAAUCAAAGGGUCCCGGGUUCGAAUCCCGGACAGGCCA
rnacentral:tRNA from 1 species